UUACAGGAAGCUCCACUGCCGAGCUGAGCAGCAAAGUCCAUAAACCCAGCAGAUGCCUCUGUUUUCAAGCCACAGGGAACCUUCUGGGAAAGGCUAUGGCAUUGGUUUUGUCAUGGCCAACGGGCAAGAAAUGCAAGCUGGAAGCAGCCUGUUUUGCUGGCCUCCAGAUCUGGACCCAACAGUUUGAAAAAUACACCUUCAACUGAUGGCUUCUGGACUCCCUGUUCAAUGCAAAGACAAUGCCAGAAGAGGCCAAGGAUCUCAAAGUUGCCGCCUAU